CAGUUCCCAGCUGUGGUGAAUUCCCAGCUUUGAAUGCAAGCAAAUACUGAGAAAAGCUCUCUUUGAAAGACUACACAAUGUUGAAUAAAGUUUUGAGAGUAGACAUUCUAUCUUGCUUAGAAUCUCUUUAUACAAGCAUUGACUACUACUGUGUUGAAUAUAAGGAAACACUUGGUAGAUCUUUGGAGCGUUCUCUCUAUGCAAUUUUCUUUU
rnacentral:lncRNA from 1 species